UACCAGCUCUCCGAGUUGUAGGGAUGAUUAUUGGGCUUAAAGCGUCCGUAGCUGGCUUAGCAAGUCUCCUGUUAAAUUCAGCGACCUAAUCGUUGAGCCGCGGGAGAUACUACUAGGCUAGGAGGCGGGAGAGGUCGACGGUACUUUCGGGGUAGGGGUGAAAUCCUAUAAUCCCGGGAGGACCACCAGUGGCGAAGGCUGUCGACUAGAACGCGCUCGACGGCGAGGGACGAAAGCUGGGGGAGCGAACCGGAUUAGAUACCCGGGUAGUCCCAGCUGUAAACUAUGCGGGCUAGGUGUUGGGGUGGCUACGGGCCACUUCAGUGCCGCAGGAAAGCCAUUAAGCCCGCCGCCUGGGGAGUACGGCCGCAAGGCUGAAACUUAAAGGAAUUGGCGGGGGAGCACCACAAGGCGUGAAGCUUGCGGUUC
rnacentral:rRNA from 1 species